rnacentral:rRNA from 1 species
UGGGGAAUCUUGCGCAAUGGGCGAAAGCCUGACGCAGCGACGCCGCGUGGGGGAUGAAGGCCUUCGGGUUGUAAACCCCUUUCGGCAGGGAAGAAGCCGCAAGGUGACGGUACCUGCAGAAGAAGCCCCGGCUAACUACGUGCCAGCAGCCGCGGUAAGACGUAGGGGGCGAGCGUUGUCCGGAUUUAUUGGGCGUAAAGCGCGCGUAGGCGGUUCGGUAAGUCGGUGGUGAAAACCCGGAGCUCAACUCCGGGCCUGCCUCCGAUACUGCCGAACUAGAGGCAGGUAGGGGAGAGUGGAAUUCCCGGUGUAGCGGUGAAAUGCGCAGAUAUCGGGAGGAACACCGGUGGCGAAGGCGGCUCUCUGGACCUGUCCUGACGCUCAGGCGCGAAAGCUAGGGGAGCGAACAG